UAUUCAAUGAAAUGCAUUAUGCAAGAGCCCAAAUCAGUACCAGAUCUUUAGUUGCUGAGAAUAGCCUCAAUUUCAUGUGUAUUUGGAGAUAGCUCUAUUUUAAAUCUCAUUAGGUAAAUUUCUAAAACUGUGAUUAAACUGUAGCCACCCAAGGGAAAAUUAGAAAUAAAUUAGAAGUGUUACUGACUUGAGAUCUCUAAUUCUUUCUUGUGUGCAUACAGAAAUUAAGGAGCUUCUCUUUUCUGUAUUACAGGCUUGGAUGAGAAAUCCAGAAGAAAGUAUGUGUGAAAGAAAAAGAUGACAUCUGUGCAUGGCAAAACAAAUCCAAAGAUUAUUACAAUAAAAACAAACGGAGGUCAAGAGAACACUUACUAGUAAAGGAUUCUACGACUUCUGCACACUCCCUUCCAACUCCUGCUUGAGUCCAAGACUGGAGGACACUCCUUGCUCUCUCAGCCAAAGGGAAGCAGGAAUUAAAGCAGGAGUGAAGAGAAGAACAAGACCACCUAGCCUCUAGCUCAAGUUGGGAUUGAAGCAGAAUUUCUCUGUCUGCCAAGCCCCC
rnacentral:lncRNA from 1 species